rnacentral:rRNA from 1 species
AUACGGAAGGUGCAAGCGUUAAUCGGAAUCACUGGGCGUAAAGCGCUCGUAGGUGGCUUUGUAAGUCAGGUGUGAAAGCCCACGGCUCAACCGUGGAAUUGCACUUGAUACUGCAUUGCUUGAGUUCGGGAGAGGGUAGUGGAAUUCCAGGUGUAGGUUUAGUGAAAUCCGUAGAGAUCUGGAGGAACACCAGUGGCGAAGGCGACUACCUGGACCGAUACUGACACUGAGGUGCGAAAGCGUGGGGAGC